CCUACGGGGGGCUGCAGUGAGGAAUAUUGGUCAAUGGACGAGAGUCUGAACCAGCCAAGUAGCGUGAAGGAUGACUGCCCUAUGGGUUGUAAACUUCUUUUAUAUGGGAAUAAAUUGUUCCACGUGUGUGAUUUUGUAUGUACCAUAUGAAUAAGGAUCGGCUAACUCCGUUCCAGCAGCCGCGGUAAUACGGAGGAUCCGAACGUUGUCCUGAUAUAUUUGGUUUAAAGGGAACGUAGGUGGAUUUGUAAGUCAGUUGUGAAAGUUUGGGGCUGAACCGUCAAAUUGCAGUUGAAACUAGCAGACUUGAGUAAAGUAGAGGUGGGCGGAAUUCGAGGUGUAGCGGUGAAAUGCGUAGAUAUCACGAAGAACUCCGAUUGCGAAGGCAGCUUACUGGACUGCAACUGACACUGAGGCACGAAAGUGUGGGUAUCAAACAGGAUUAGAUACCCGGGUAGUC
rnacentral:rRNA from 1 species